UGGGGGAUAUUGCACAAUGGGCGAAAGCCUGAUUCAGCGACGCCGCGUGGGGGAUGAAGGCCUUCGGGUUGUAAACUUCUUUUGCUCUGAACAAGGCAUGCCUUUGGGGUGUGUUGCGUGUAGGGGUUGAUUAGCGCCGGCUAACUACGUGCCAGCAGCCGCGGUAAUACGUAUGGAGCGAGCGUUGUCCGGAAUUAUUGGGCGUAAAGGGUGCGCAGGCGGCUUUACAAGUUGGAUGUGAAAUAUUGUGGCUCAACCACAAACGUGCAUCCAAAACUGCAAAGCUUGAGGUAAGGAGAGGUAGUUGGAAUUCCUGUGGUAGCGGUAGAAUGCGAAGGUAUCAGGAGGAAUACCGGGGGCGAAGGCGACUUACGGGACUUAAACUGACGCUCAGGAACGAAAGCGUGGGGAGCAAACAGA
rnacentral:rRNA from 1 species